rnacentral:rRNA from 1 species
GGACCCUACUGCUAUCGGGGUGGGACUAAAACAUGCUAGUCGAGCGUCUCCAAGCCAUGGUGGAGGCGCGGCGUACAGCUCAGUAACACGUGGCUAACCUACCCUUGGGACGGGAACACCCCCGGGAAACUGGGGUUAAUUCCCGAUGGGUGAGGAGGCCUGGAAUGGUUCCUCACUGAAAGGGCGUUAGAGGCAUGCUCUCUAACGUUGCCCAAGGAUGGGGUCGCGGCCGAUCAGGUUGUUGGUGAGGUAACGGCUUACCAAGCCUAUAACCGGUACGGGCCGUGAGAGCGGAAGCCCGGAGAUGGGCACUGAGAUAAGGGCCCAGGCCCUACGGGGCGCAGCAGUUGCGAAAACUCCGCAAUGCACGAAAGUGUGACGGGGCUACCCCGAGUGCCGUCCGCUGAGGAUGGCUUUUCUCCGCUGUAAGGAGGCGGAGGAAUAAGGAGAGGGCAAGACUGGUGUCAGCCGCCGCGGUAAUACCAGCUCUCCGAGUGGUAGGGGUGAUUAUUGGGCUUAAAGCGUCCGUAGCCGGCCUGGCAAGUCUUCCGUUAAAUCCAGCAACCUAAUUGUUGGGCUGCGGGGGAUACUGUUAGGCUAGGGGGCGGGAGAGGCCGACGGUAUUCUCGGGGUAGGGGUGAAAUCUUAUAAUCCCGGGAGGACCACCAGUGGCGAAGGCUGUCGGCUAGCACGCGCCUGACGGUGAGGGACGAAAGCUGGGGGAGCGAACCGGAUUAGAUACCCGGGUAGUCCCUGCUGUAAACGAUGCAGGCUAGGUGUUGGCGCGGCUACGUGCCGCUCCAGUGCCGCAGGGAAGCCGUUAAGCCUGCCGCCUGGGAAGUACGGCCGCAAGGCUGAAACUUAA